rnacentral:lncRNA from 1 species
AUUUAUUUAAAAGCAAUAGUUGAAAAGAAUGAUGCUCUAAGAGCUUAAAAACUAAUUUAGUUAGAAAACAGUUCAUCUUUGCCCAAGUAGAAAGAUUUAACAAUAUAGAGAUAUGUGUACAUAGAGUAUAGACAUUUAAAAGGUAAUGAAAACUUAAAAACAGUUGAAGAAGAUCCUUUAAAAUAAUGAUCCUAACCAUUUUUAUGUAUCAUGUACUUCUUUGAGAAUUUAAUGGUCUAUAGAACACUUCAAAGAUUAAAAAAAACCUAGUAUAAUAAAAGAAAACACUAAAUUUAAUUUUGAUGUUAUUGAAAAUAAAGAUGCAUGUUCAUGCAUGUUCACAGAAUGGCUGAAAUCUAUCCACAGAAUAUCAUAAAGAAGGAGUCAAGAAUGGAGAUCAAGAAAGACAAAUAUAAAAUAUACAAAUGUGUAGAAGUAUUUAUGAAAUAAUACCAAGAAAAGGAAACACAACUGAAAAGUCACAUGUAUGCUUAUUUUGAUUAUAUAAGAUAUAAUGAUGUAUAUAAUGAGUAUAUGCAAGUAUAAAAUCAAUGCUGUCUGUAUACAUGAGUUUUAUUUUAACUUUUAGAAUAAGAUUCUAAAAUGUAUGACUUUGAGUAAUGGAACACUAAAGUCUCUAAAUAAUUAAUUUUAAGGACUAUCCAGUGGAAAAUAGAGAGGAACAUGAUGGGUGUGAACAGAUUGUAAAAUAUGACAAAUAAAAAAUGAUGAAGGAAAAAGUGCAUAGGUUGACAUCAAAGAGACUCCCAAAUACUAAGAUAGCUCUGGCAAUGUAUAUCAAUCAAUAUCAAUUUCAUCAUCUGUUUCUAUAUCUCUGGAAAACAUACUUCCAAGGAACUUGGACAUGCUGGUUCAGUUAAAUGGAAAUGGGGUUAACAAAUGCCAUAAAUCAGGCAGGCUCAUGGUUGGGCCCAGAGAAGUCAUUUUAAGCUAGGAAGAGAUGAAGGAUGUCACAUUCACAAGCAGAUCAACCAGAUCCAGAACUCAGGAAAACAUAUGUUAAAAAUCAGUGUGAAUAGAGCUUGAUAUUGAUCCAGGACUUCAGAAUGUUGGUGAUUCUCUCAUACUUCCUUUCUAACCAUGUCAGUCAGAGAGUGUAACCAAGCCUGAAUCCCCAAGGAAGGAUGAGCAAGCCCAAUGACUGGAGCAGAAACUGCCUAUAAGUCUCUUUAGUCCUCUUUCAUGACUGAAUUUAAUGGGGGAAAAGUGGCUGUUAGGGAAUCCUGAGUUGUGGGAAAUUGGAAAAAAAAUAAAAAG